rnacentral:rRNA from 1 species
AUGCACGAUCUUUACACAAGAUUACUUCUUCGCCUUUGUGAUGGACAGCUCUUCGAGCCAGUUCAGGAUCCUAAUGCGACGCCCGCCGUGACCACUCUUGGCCUUUCCAUCCGCUCCGCUUUUCCUCGCCGCCGGAGGCAGCUUGACGGACUCGACGACGUCCGGCGAGCACUUGCAUCCGAAGCCGUCACCGAACAGCCCCGCGCCAUGUUUCCUGAAGCUCCUCUCAAUGGCGCUGGCGGCCUGCUCGAACCUCGCGCUCCUGCCGCUGCCGCCCCUCGACGCGGCCGUGAUCUUGGCCCCGUCGGCGCAGCGCGGCGGGUAAACGUCCGGGGCGCCGACGACGCCGAGGCGUAUGACACCCCACCUGGCGGGCGGCGGUGCCGACCCCGUGCUCCGGCGCGGCCGCGAGCGGAGCUGCGGCGACGGGCUCGGGUGCGCGUAGAACAGGCUGCUCGACAGGGACCUCCGCGGCGGCGCGGCGGCGUGGUCGGAGGAGGCGCUCUUGGACGAGUGGCUGCGGCUGACGCAGCCGCUGCUGCUGCCGCUGGAGCUGGCGCUCCGGCAGUCGGAGCGCGAGCCGAAGCCCGCGGUGGAGGCGACGGACUCGGACCGCGGGAGCAGGGCGACGCUGGGGGCGUCGGUGGACGAGGGGCGGAGCGGGAGGAGCUUGCCGUGGGAGAAGAGCUCGUCGGCCACGCACAUGUCGUCGGCCGCGCCCACGCCGGCCGAGACAAGGCCGCCGGUGGACAGGACGCGGAACUCGAAGUCGUCGGCCGCCUCGGGGGUGGGGCUGUCGGCGGCCUCGCGGGGCUCGUGAGGGGCGUCUGCCAUGGUCGGGGUUCUUUGCUUGGUCCAAGGGGAAGAGGUGGGGAAGAAGAAGAGAUGGUCGCGGGGUUUUGUUGCGUUCUGGUCUUCUUCUUUUGGCCUGUUCGGUUUUCACUCCGAAGAACGGCAAGAGGAGUAGAGGACGGGAAUAGAAACAGAGGAUUUUUUUUUUCGGGUCAGAGGAGGGGCUGUGGCUACGGUGCUGGGGCCCUGGGAUGUCAGUCUAUAUGCGCAGUGCUUAGCGCAUUGGUCGUCGAUGCACAAAACUUGCUGGUCAACGGUGCCAGCCGGCGGAAGGCUUCGGUUACCCCUAAUUUUGGAGAAAAUUUAUGA